AUUGAACGCUGGCGGCAUGCCUUACACAUGCAAGUCGAACGGUAACAGGUCUUCGGAUGCUGACGAGUGGCGCACGGGUGAGUAAUACAUCGGAACGUGCCCGAUCGUGGGGGAUAACGAAGCGAAAGCUUUGCUAAUACCGCAUACGAUCUACGGAUGAAAGCAGGGGACCGCAAGGCCUUGCGCGAACGGAGCGGCCGAUGGCAGAUUAGGUAGUUGGUGGGAUAAAAGCUUACCAAGCCGACGAUCUGUAGCUGGUCUGAGAGGACGACCAGCCACACUGGGACUGAGACACGGCCCAGACUCCAACGGGACGCAGCAGUGGGGAAUUUUGGACAAUGGGCGAAAGCCUGAUCCAGCCAUGCCGCGUGCAGGAUGAAGGCCUUCGGGUUGUAAACUGCUUUUGUACGGAACGAAAAGACUCUGGUUAAUACCUGGGGUCCAUGACGGUACCGUAAGAAUAAGCACCGGCUAACUACGUG
rnacentral:rRNA from 1 species